rnacentral:snoRNA from 1 species
ACCUUCCAGAGUCCUUACCCCUUAGACCUAAACCACGGGUCUGAGUGGCCAUAAAAGGAGGAAAAGUAAAACUGAGUGGACUUAGAUUCUUUAGGGACAUACAAGUUCAUUUCACAGAAAG